rnacentral:RNase_P_RNA from 1 species
GAAGUUCGCCAGGCAGCCGCUGGACAAAUCAUCGUCUGGAGGAAAGUCCGGGCCCCAUAGAGCAGGAUGCCGGCUAACGGCCGGGCGCCGCGAGGCGACAGACAGCGCAACAGAAAGAUACCGCCUAAGUUCGCAAGAACCGGCAAGGGUGAAAUGGUGGGGUAAGAGCCCACCGCGGACGUGGUAACACGGACGGCACGGCAAACCUCAUCCGGGGCAAGGCCAAAUAGGGGAGCAUUGACGUGGCUCGCGUCGCUCCCGGGUAGGCUGCUAGAGGCCGUCAGCAAUGGCGGUCCCAGAGGAAUGGCUGCCCACGACAGAACCCGGCUUAUCGGCGAACUUCCACA